CGCUGGCGGCACGCCUAACACAUGCAAGUCGAACGAAGUAGCAAUACUUAGUGGCAGACGGGUGAGUAACAUGUAGGUAUCUGCCCUUUGGCCUGGAAUAACACGAGGAAACUUGUGCUAAUACCGGAUAAGUCUUUACGGAGAAAGCUUUAUGCACCAUUGGAUGAGCCUGCACUUGAUUAGUUUGUUGGUGGGGUAAUGGCCUACCAAGACUGUGAUCAAUAGCUGAUUUGAGAGGAUGAUCAGCCACAUUGGGACUGAGACACGGCCCAAACUCCUACGGGAGGCAGCAGUGGGGAAUCUUGCACAAUGGAGGAAACUCUGAUGCAGCGAUGCCGCGUGAGUGAAGAAGGCCUUUGGGUUGUAAAGCUCUUUCGUCGGGGAAGAAAAUGACUGUACCCGAAUAAGAAGGUCCGGCUAACUUCGUGCCAGCAGCCGCGGUAAUACGAAGGGACCUAGCGUAGUUCGGAAUUACUGGGCUUAAAGAGUUCGUAGGUGGUUGAAAAAGUUGGUGGUGAAAUCCCAGAGCUUAACUCUGGAACUGCCAUCAAAACUUUUCAGCUAGAGUAUGAUAGAGGAAAGCAGAAUUUCUAGUGUAGAGGUGAAAUUCGUAGAUAUUAGAAAGAAUACCAAUUGCGAAGGCAGCUUUCUGGAUCAUUACUGACACUGAGGAACGAAAGCAUGGGUAGCGAAGAGGAUUAGAUACCCUCGUAGUCCAUGCCGUAAACGAUGUGUGUUAGACGUUGGAAAUUUAUUUUCAGUGUCGCAGCGAAAGCGAUAAACACACCGCCUGGGGAG
rnacentral:rRNA from 1 species